AACGAACGCUGGCGGCAGGCCUAACACAUGCAAGUCGAGCGAGGACUUCGGUUCUAGCGGCGGACGGGUGAGUAACGCGUGGGAAUGUGCCCUUCUCUACGGAAUAGCCCUGGGAAACUGGGAGUAAUACCGUAUACGCCCUAUUGGGGAAAGAUUUAUCGGAGAAGGAUCAGCCCGCGUUGGAUUAGGUAGUUGGUGGGGUAAUGGCCUACCAAGCCGACGAUCCAUAGCUGGUUUGAGAGGAUGAUCAGCCACACUGGGACUGAGACACGGCCCAGACUCCUACGGGAGGCAGCAGUGGGGAAUCUUAGACAAUGGGGGCAACCCUGAUCUAGCCAUGCGGGGUGAGUGAUGAAGGCCUUAGGGUUGUAAAGCUCGUUCAGCUGGGAAGAUAAUGACGGUACCAGCAGAAGAAGCCCCGGCUAACUACGUG
rnacentral:rRNA from 1 species